GUGGGGAAUAUUGGACAAUGGGCGAAAGCCUGAUCCAGCCAUGCCGCGUGUGUGAAGAAGGUCUUCGGAUUGUAAAGCACUUUAAGUUGGGAGGAAGGGCAGUAAGUUAAUACCUUGCUGUUUUGACGUUACCGACAGAAUAAGCACCGGCUAACUUCGUGCCAGCAGCCGCGGUAAUACGAAGGGUGCAAGUGUUAAUCGGAAUUACUGGGCGUAAAGCGCGCGUAGGUGGUUUUGUAAGUUGGAGGUGAAAUCCCCGGGCUCAACCUGGGAACUGCCUCCAAAACUGCAUGACUAGAGUACGGUAGAGGGUAGUGGAAUUUCCUGUGUAGCGGUGAAAUGCGUAGAUAUAGGAAGGAACACCAGUGGCGAAGGCGACUACCUGGACUGAUACUGACACUGAGGUGCGAAAGCGUGGGGAGCAAACAGGAUUAGAUACCCGAGUAGUCC
rnacentral:rRNA from 1 species